GAGAGAGAAGGAAAGCGCAACAAGUGUCGGCUGUCGCGCAUGCGCAUUUUUAUGACGCGAAAAAAGAGAAUUGCAAAUGCAAGUUGUAAGCUGAUUACUUAAAGUUUAACCUCCAUCUCCAUCGGAAUCCAGAGUCAGCUCACGAUGUCUGCGGUUGUGUUAGAGGGAUUUAUUUUUGAUAUUUUUGUUAUUAGAAAAUUGAAAAAUGGACUGGCCAGAUAUAUUUGCAGCGAAUCCGCAGGGCAACUGGUGCAUAAAUACUUUGGCUGAUUGUCGGUGAACAAGUUGUCAAUAUCGUGACAGAUGAACUAUCCAGGAUUUUAUUGUCACGUCGGUGUUUUAUUUCCCGAUGUCAAUUCUCUGAGAUUCAUGAUGCGGCUCAUACUCAGUACUUUUCCCGCGUUUUUAAGAAAACAGACUGAUGUUUAAAUCUUCAGCAACUAAAUUGGUACCAUAAGUGAUGACAUAAAAAGACACUCUAUCAAAUAAAAUCCCAUUACCAUCAAACCAGGCACAAUGGAGCUAAAAAAAUAGUAUCAAAAACUGGAAUGACCCGUUUUAAAGUCAGUCAUCGCAUCUGACCACUGUGGUAACAAACUGCGUAAAUAGAAGAUGUUACACACGAAGAGAAAUCAUCUUAGCCAAAAAUUAAUAUCAUAAACAUAACAGACAAACGGGUAAAUGUGUACUUUGACUUUCUCUCUACACCGGAUGAUGUUAUCUUCCUCAAUAUUUAUUUUUAUAUUGUCAUAAGUCGUUAUACAAUGAAUAAUAACAAUUAAAUAUUCCCCUAUACAUAUCCAUAUACGUAUUCGUUACUACGAUUAAAUUUGAUGUAACCAUUUAUUAAAUAAAUUCACAAUAAAGACUUAUUAACAUGAUCAAUCAUAAUUCAUAAUAUAUUGACGCACUAAUUGGUCAAUUAUUCUAAUAAUUUCCACGUGUUUUUGUUAUAAUUAUUUUCUUCGAACGCAGACGUCAAAGUGUUAUAAGUCCAUUUAAAUAAAAAAUUAACACUUGUUAUUAUUAAAAUACACGUGGGCUCUCGGUAACGCGUUUUCAACAAAUAAUUAAAACCAAACACGGAAGUUUAAACUGUGACUAGGCACCGACUCAAUACUCAUUGCAAGAUCACUUAUUGACAAGUUUCAAAUAAAUUAUCUUUCAUUUUACGCAUGACUGUUUUUAUGUCUCAGCAAUUAAUUAGAUUAGACAGUAAUGGAAUAAAUUACGACAAUUAAAAUAAAAAUAACACACGUGUGAUUGACAAUUGGAUUCAUAAUUACCUCGAGUUGACAAUUUUAGAAACGUAAUUCACUAUCAGGACCAGGACCAAGACCAAUAUCAGGAUCGGGAGUUCCUAUUGCACGAUAGUCUGGCAAUG